UGUUAAAAAGUUCAUCCAUUUCUACUGUUAAAAAUUGAUAUGGCUAAUAGAAUAACUAGACAGUUACACGUGGCAUACUACGUGUAACUCAUGCUGACAUACCAGUUUUUAACAAUAAAAAUGGAUGAAUUUUUUAAUA
rfam:Gossypium arboreum cultivar AKA8401 contig_24775_5, whole genome shotgun sequence.